rnacentral:rRNA from 1 species
GACGAACGCUGGCGGCGUGCCUAAUACAUGCAAGUUGAGCGAUGAAGAUUGGUGCUUGCACCAAUUUGAAGAGCAGCGAACGGGUGAGUAACGCGUGGGGAAUCUGCCUUUGAGCGGGGGACAACAUUUGGAAACGAAUGCUAAUACCGCAUAACAACUUUAAACAUAAGUUUUAAGUUUGAAAGAUGCAAUUGCAUCACUCAAAGAUGAUCCCGCGUUGUAUUAGCUAGUUGGUGAGGUAAAGGCUCACCAAGGCGAUGAUACAUAGCCGACCUGAGAGGGUGAGCGGCCACACUGGGACUGGGACACGGCCCAAAAUCCUACGGGAGGCAGCAGUAGGGAAUCUUCGGCAAUGGACGAAAGUCUGACCGAGCAACGCCGCGUGAGUGAAGAAGGUUUUCGGAUCGUAAAACUUUGUUGGUAGAGAAGAACGUUUGUGAGAGUGGAAAGCUCAUCAAGUGACGGUAACUACCCAGAAAGGGACGGCUAACUACGUG